rnacentral:rRNA from 1 species
AUGGAGCUUGGAAGGCUUCCGCAGCCAGCAUUCAUCCUACGAGGUGUUUGUAAGACAUUGAGUGUGGCUCGUCAGGCGUAGCAUUGAGUUUGCCAGGUUAGCUGUCGUGCGGGGGUUCAGUUAAGGGGGCCGGGCCUUUGGCUUAGCUUCCCUUGCUGUUCCCUUUUGAACGGACGUUCAGAGCUCUAUUGUCUAAUGCGGUUAUGCCCACCACGGCACGUUGUGAGGUCACCCACAGGCUCAAACUGCCGAUCGCGCAUCCAGGAUGAUGGCAACGAUGCGUUGUUCAGCUUCGCGGCUGUAUCGCGUGUCUAGUCCUGGGUCGGGCGGCGACCGAGAUAAACCUGGUAUGAUCCUCUUGCGACGAGCUGCUUUCUGGCCAGACCGACGUCCAGGCGCUUCCACUGUGCCGGAAGCGUCAAAUCCCAGGCGGUGUGAACCCAGCUGCAUUAUGCAAGGUCUCUCAGCCGGGCGUUGGUCUGAGUGGUGUUAAGUCCAGCACCAUCGGUCACGUCUCGAAACACGGGCCAAGGAGUAUAGCAUGUGUGCAAGUCUAAGGGUCUCACAAAACCCGAAGGCGAAGUGAAAGCAAGACUGUGGCGGGGGAGCUACGGCGAACCCGCCGGCCUAGUGGCGCAUGCGUCGCCUGGCUUAUAGCAGAGCUGAUCCUGUUUUCUCGGUUAAUUCUUGGUGCAGGCGCAAGCUCCGGGCUCACGUACAACACUGGUUACGCCUCGUGUGUGGCUGUGUUGUGAGCACCGUGGAGCAUGCAUGCUAU